rnacentral:misc_RNA from 1 species
UUUCCGUAGGUGAACCUGCGGAAGGAUCAUUACCGAGUGAGGGCCCUCUGGGUCCAACCUCCCACCCGUGUUUAUUGUACCUUGUUGCUUCGGCGGGCCCGCCUCACGGCCGCCGGGGGGCACCCGCCCCCGGGCCCGCGCCCGCCGAAGACACCAUUGAACGCUGUCUGAAGAUUGCAGUCUGAGCAUCUUAGCUAAAUCAGUUAAAACUUUCAACAACGGAUCUCUUGGUUCCG